UGCCUACAUGCUCCUCUGGAUCCUCCUUGGUGUCCAUAGUCUUUGGAAGUGAUCAAGAUUCCACGCCACCACCAUCAUUAUGUGUUGGAAAACAGCAGAUGGCCUGGAACUUGUGAAGAAAUCAUAUGCACUGCACUCAAGUACUGUUGUGGGGUGACCUGUUGCCUGACAAGGAUGGGGACAGCACCUGGAGUCAGACGUGUUCUUUGACCCUUGGAGAGAAAACGACAACACUAAUUCGAACUGUACUUUUAUAUUGUUACAGUAAUAGUAAAUUUAUCACAAAGGAAAAUAAAAACUUCUACUUGCUUAAUGGCCUACAAUAUAAAUACGUAUGUGUCUGUUGUGCUUUAACAUGUUUUUACCACCUCAGUGUUUACAAUAAUGUACUUGUGUGAUGAGUUAAGUCGGUGCAUGUGUGUUUUAAGGAGUUUCAUUUGGUAUAGCAUUAAUGUAUACAUACUUUGAAAUGCAGGUUUUCAGCCUGAAAUGAUCUUCACAGACCAUGUAGUCGCCUUGUUUUGCUUCUUCAGCAGUCAUAUUGGGUGGCAGGUCUUGGGUGUGUCAAAGCCACUUUUCACGUCUGUGUUGAUAGCAGUUCCAAUA